CUUCUGUGUGCUGAAGAGGGAGAGGCAGGGCAUGGAGGAGAAAGUCCAGAAUCCUGAUUGUUGGGGGAAGGCCACCAGGGAAAGCAGGUGACGGCACGUCUGGCACCCAAGUCCUCAGAUGACGCCAGGAGGGUCCAGGGCGGGCCAGGAGAGGAGAGUCAUCCGAGACUUUCCCCCUUAUGUGGUGUCUUUUGUCUUUUUCUCCAGUCAUUGUCCUUGGAAAAAAGUCACACACACACACACACACACACACACACACACACACAAUGCAGCGAGAGUAACAAACGAUGGUGAGAUUGCUACAUGUUUCAUGCUCUUCCAAAGAUCUACUUCAAGAUUUCCUCAUGAAAACUUAAAGCUAAGAGACCGAAUGGCUGGAACGAGGACAGCCAGCACCAGGACUGAGCCUGGCAGCUGGCUGGGCCUACCAUUCAUGCCAGGGCUCUGCCGACACGACCCUGCGUAUUCUUCGCACAGGCUCUCUGUCUAAUUGAACCGGAAACUCUGUGAAGGAUGCUGUCUAUCUGGAAGCUGCAGACUUUGAUCCACAGGAGAACCACUUGAUGUGAGACUCCGGGCCAGUCCUGCAACCUCUGCCUUCGAAAAGGUUCUCACAUAGCUCAGGAUGGCUUACAACUUGCUGUGUUACCAAAGAAGACUUUGAACUUUUGAUCCUCCUGCUUCCGUCUCCUGAGGGCUGAAGUUACAGGAAUGCACCAUCAUGCCCCAGCAAGAACAGAGCUACAGAAAGAAAAAUGAAAACAAUGAACAAAAAGCCGAGUGGUCAUUUCAAAGGUGCAUUCCCCCAAAGGUGCGCUCGGGGAGACCUGACAAUAGAAAGCCGAGCAGCAUCGGGUUUCUUUAGGUUACCUCCUGCGCUCGGCAUCAGGAGGAGCCGGCUUGAGCUGCUUGCCAACUGGAACUGGCCUGCAUGUGAAACUUGGCUGCUGUUCCUCAUUUCUCCUGUUUUCUUGGAAGGUCUGACCACAGCUCAUGUUCUGUUUGCUGACGUGGAGCUUUGGCACGGGUGACGCUGUUUUUUAUCUCAGUCAAAACCCCUGCGUGGGCCUGGGAGGGCCACUCCCACAGAUCAAUGUUCCCAGGGCACUCUCUACCUAACAGCCUGCCGUGACUCCCAGCAACCUGCAGCUUCAUUUGCUAAGCCCUGAACUCCAUGGUCUCCUCCCUCAACAUGUCACCUCCCCAGCCAUCUCUGCUCUGGUCCUUGAGCUCACAAGGCCACACACACCACCUGGGUAGGAUAACCAUGUCUCACUCCACUGGACAACCUGCAGGGCAGAUGUUAUGCCCACUUAUGCUCAGGGGAGUUGCCCACUGGCUGGAGGACACCCACCUCUGUGUGCCCAGCAGCAUGUGUUGGUACAAAUAUUCCAGAAAUA